ACACAUGCAGUCGAGCGGCAGCACAAGUGAGUUUACUCAUGAGGUGGCGAGCGGCGGACGGGUGAGUAAUGCCUAGGGAUCUGCCCAGUCGAGGGGGAUAACAGUUGGAAACGACUGCUAAUACCGCAUACGCCCUACGGGGGAAAGGAGGGGACCUUCGGGCCUUCCACGAUUGGAUGAACCUAGGUGGGAUUAGCUAGUUGGUGAGGUAAUGGCUCACCAAGGCGACGAUCCCUAGCUGUUCUGAGAGGAUGAUCAGCCACACUGGGACUGAGACACGGCCCAGACUCCUACGGGAGGCAGCAGUGGGGAAUAUUGCACAAUGGGGGAAACCCUGAUGCAGCCAUGCCGCGUGUGUGAAGAAGGCCUUCGGGUUGUAAAGCACUUUCAGUAGGGAGGAAAGGUUGUAAGUUAAUACCUUGCAGCUGUGACGUUACCUGCAGAAGAAGGACCGGCUAACUCCGUGCCAGCAGCCGCGGUAAUACGGAGGGUCCAAGCGUUAAUCGGAAUUACUGGGCGUAAAGCGUGCGCAGGCGGUUGAUUAAGCGAGAUGUGAAAGCCCCGGGCUCAACCUGGGAAUUGCAUUUCGAACUGGUCAACUAGAGUCUUGUAGAGGGGGGUAGAAUUCCAGGUGUAGCGGUGAAAUGCGUAGAGAUCUGGAGGAAUACCGG
rnacentral:rRNA from 1 species